GAUUCCUGCGGACCCAGCUGCGGCGACGCCAGGAGACCCCAAGCUGCAUCGCCGAGUGGAAGCAACUAGAACUCCAGGGCUGUGAAAGCCACAGGUGGGGGCUGAGCGAGGCGUGGCCUCAGGAGCGGAGGACCCCCCCCACUCCCCCACGAGCGCCGCAGUCCACCGUAGCGGGUGGAGCCCGCCUUGGUGCGCAGUUGGAAAACCUCGGAGCCCCGCUGGAUCUCCUGGCUGCCACCCGCACCCCCCACCAGCCUAGGGUGCGCCCGCGGGCCCAGCUUCUCUCUGCGCUGCUCCCCGUUAAAUUCCCUGGGGAGACGGAAAAAAAGGCAAAGGAAGUCGGUUCUCCAGGGGCCAGAAGUGUUGAGCCUAAUUAGUCUUCAGACUUCUCAAUGAGAAAUCGCUUAUCAGUUUCUUAUCUGGGAGAGUUGAGGAUGGAGGGACAGAAGGCACCCAGGAUUUGCACGGGGGGGAUUCAGGGAGAGAGGGUGAUGAGGGACGGGGUGGGCCUUCCAGUCUUGGCCCAGUCCCCGUCUUGCACACAUUGUUGGCUUCCUCUUAGAGCCGUUCGCCCCCCUGGGGAGGGGAGACCCAUAGUGACCUCUCCUGACACCCGCCGACCCUGACCAGUGUGUUGCCCGGUUCUUCAAAGGCCACGCUCUGACUGCUGGUCUGUGUCACCUGCACCCCCCAGCCCCACCGUAGAGAUGCCUUCUUCGGUGACGGCGCUGGGUCAGGCCAGGUCCUCCGGCCCCGGGAUGGCCCCGAGCGCCUGCUGCUGCUCCCCUGCAGCCGUGCAGAGGAGGCUGCCCAUCCUGGCGUGGCUGCCCAGCUACUCCCUGCAGUGGCUGAAGAUGGAUUUCGUCGCCGGCCUCUCAGUUGGCCUCACUGCCAUUCCCCAGGCGCUGGCCUAUGCUGAAGUGGCUGGACUCCCGCCCCAGGUGAGGUGUCUGACCCUGCUGCCAGCCACAUCUCAGAAACAGUGCAGAAUUCACAGUAUCAAUCCCAGACACCAUCAGCAAUUCCAGGUUUCCAGCCCCUGGGCCCCAAGGAACCUUUGGUUUACAGUGUGUGACGCAGAUUGUCUCUGGGCCGACCCAGGCUCCUAUGCCUGUUUGGCACACACAGACACUGAGCUGGUUAUGGAGGGGCCAGCGAGAUGACUCAUGGAGGCCUCAGGAGUUCAAGACCAGCCCGACCAAAAUGGUGAAACCCCAUCUUCACUAAAAAUACAAAAAUUAGGCUGGAUGCGGUGGCUCAAGCCUGUAAUCCCAGCACUUUGGGAGGCCGAGGCAGGCGGAUCGCAAGGUCAGGAGAUGGAGACCAUCCUGGCUAACAGGGUGAAACCCCGUCUCUACUAAAAAUACAAAAAAUUAGCCAGGUGUGGUGGCGGGUGCCUGUAGUCCCAGCUACCUGGGAGGCUGAGGCAGGAGAAUGGCGUGAACCCGGGAGGCGGAGCUUGCGGUGAGCUGGAGCUUGCAGUGAGCUGAGACUGUGCCACUGCCCUCCAGCCUGGGCGACAGAGCGAGACUCCAUCUC
rnacentral:sRNA from 1 species